rnacentral:rRNA from 1 species
UACGUAGGGUCCGAGCGUUGUCCGGAAUUAUUGGGAGCGUAAAGGGCUCGUAGGCGGUCCGGUCAACGUGGGGAGUGAAACUACCAGGGCUCAACCCGUGAGCUCGUGCUCCGGAUGACGGGCGGACGUAGAGGUAUGGCAGGGGAGAACGGAAUUCCGUGGUGUACGGCGGUGGAAUGCGAGCAGAUAUCAGGAGGAACACCGGUGGCGAAGGCGGUUCUCUGGGCAUUACCUGACGCUGAGGAGCGAAAGCAUGGGGAGCGAACAGG